AGAGUUUGAUCAUGGCUCAGGACGAACGCUGGCGGCACGCUUAACACAUGCAAGUCGAACGAGAGAAGAGGAGCUUGCUUUUCUGAUCUAGUGGCGGACGGGUGAGUAACACGUGAGCAAUCUGCCUUUCAGAGGGGGAUACCGAUUGGAAACGAUCGUUAAUACCGCAUAACAUAAUUGAACCGCAUGAUUUGAUUAUCAAAGAUUUAUCGCUGAAAGAUGAGCUCGCGUCUGAUUAGCUAGUUGGUAAGGUAACGGCUUACCAAGGCGACGAUCAGUAGCCGGACUGAGAGGUUGAUCGGCCACAUUGGGACUGAGACACGGCCCAGACUCCUACGGGAGGCAGCAGUGGGGAAUAUUGCACAAUGGAGGAAACUCUGUUGCAGCGAUGCCGCGUGAGGGAAGAAGGUUUUAGGAUUGUAAACCUCUGUCUUCAGGGACGAAAAAAGACGGUACCUGAGGAGGAAGCUCCGGCUAACUACGUGCCAGCAGCCGCGGUAAUACGUAGGGAGCGAGCGUUGUCCGGAAUUACUGGGUGUAAAGGGAGCGUAGGCGGGAUCGCAAGUCAGAUGUGAAAACUAUGGGCUUAACCCAUAAACUGCAUUUGAAACUGUGGUUCUUGAGUGAAGUAGAGGUAAGCGGAAUUCCUAGUGUAGCGGUGAAAUGCGUAGAUAUUAGGAGGAACAUCAGUGGCGAAGGCGGCUUACUGGGCUUUAACUGACGCUGAGGCUCGAAAGCGUGGGGAGCAAACAGGAUUAGAUACCCUGGUAGUCCACGCCGUAAACGAUGAUUACUAGGUGUGGGGGGACUGACCCCUUCCGUGCCGCAGCAAACGCAAUAAGUAAUCCACCUGGGGAGUAUGACCGCAAGGUUGAAACUCAAAGGAAUUGACGGGGGCCCGCACAAGCAGUGGAGUAUGUGGAUUAAUUCGAAGCAACGCGAAGAACCUUACCAGGUCUUGACAUCGUAUGCAUAGCUCAGAGAUGAGUGAAAUCUCUUCGGAGACAUAUAGACAGGUGGUGCAUGGUUGUCGUCAGCUCGUGUCGUGAGAUGUUGGGUUAAGUCCCGCAACGAGCGCAACCCUUACUGUUAGUUGCUACGCAAGAGCACUCUAGCAGGACUGCCGUUGACAAAACGGAGGAAGGUGGGGAUGACGUCAAAUCAUCAUGCCCCUUAUGACCUGGGCCUCACACGUACUACAAUGGCUGUCAACAGAGGGAAGCAAAGCCGCGAGGUGGAGCGAACCCCUAAAAGCAGUCUUAGUUCGGAUUGUAGGCUGCAACCCGCCUACAUGAAGUCGGAAUUGCUAGUAAUCGCAGAUCAGCAUGCUGCGGUGAAUACGUUCCCGGGCCUUGUACACACCGCCCGUCACGCCAUGGGAGUCGGUAACACCCGAAGCCUGUAGUCUAACCGCAAGGAGGACGCAGUCGAAGGUGGGAUUGAUGACUGGGGUGAAGUCGUAACAAGGUA
rnacentral:rRNA from 1 species